rnacentral:rRNA from 1 species
AACCUUCCACAAUGGGCGAAAGCCUGUUGGAGCAACGCCGCGUGAGUGAAGAAGGCUUUCGGACCGUAAAACUCUGCUGUAAGGGAAGAACAAGUAUAGUAGUAACUGGCUGUACCUUGACGCUAUCUUAUUAUAAAGCCACUUCUAACUACUUUCCAGCAUCCUCGGUAAUACGUAGGUGGCAAGCCUUCUCCGGAAUUAUUGGGGGUAAAGCGCGCGCAGGCGGUCCUUUAAGUCUGAUGUGAAAGCCCACGGCUCAACCGUGGAGGGUCAUUGGAAACUGGGGGACUUGAGUGCAGAAGAGGAAAGUGGAAUUCCAAGUGUAGCGGUGAAAUGCGUAGAGAUUUGGAGGAACACCAGUGGCGAAGGCGACUUUCUGGUCUGUAACUGACGCUGAGGCGCGAAAGCGUGGGGAGCAAACAGG